AUGGCCUCUCUCGCACUGUUAACCUCUUGGUUCAUCUGGAAUGAACACAAUGCACGAGUCUUCCGUCACAAGUACGCCCCGCCAUUCGUCCUGCUCACUCUUAUAAAAAGGGAUGUAGCCCUAUGGGUCACCGCGGGAGCAAAAAAGUUGCGAGCAAUCAUACUAGGAGAGUAG
rnacentral:rRNA from 1 species